GACGAACGCUGGCGGCGUGCUUAACACAUGCAAGUCGAACGAUGAAGCCUAGCUUGCUAGGUGGAUUAGUGGCGAACGGGUGAGUAAUACGUGAGUAACCUACCUUUAACUCUGGGAUAAGCCUGGGAAACUGGGUCUAAUACCGGAUACGACCAAUCUCCGCAUGGGGUGUUGGUGGAAAGCGUUAUGUAGUGGUUAUAGAUGGGCUCACGGCCUAUCAGCUUGUUGGUGAGGUAACGGCUCACCAAGGCGACGACGGGUAGCCGGCCUGAGAGGGUGACCGGCCACACUGGGACUGAGACACGGCCCAGACUCCUACGGGAGGCAGCAGUGGGGAAUAUUGCACAAUGGGCGCAAGCCUGAUGCAGCGACGCCGCGUGAGGGAUGACGGCCUUCGGGUUGUAAACCUCUGUUAGCAGGGAAGAAGAGAGAUUGACGGUACCUGCAGAGAAAGCGCCGGCUAACUACGUGCCAGCAGCCGCGGUAAUACGUAGGGCGCGAGCGUUGUCCGGAAUUAUUGGGCGUAAAGAGCUUGUAGGCGGUUUGUCGCGUCUGCUGUGAAAGGCCGGAGCUUAACUCCGUGUAUUGCAGUGGGUACGGGCAGACUAGAGUGCAGUAGGGGAGACUGGAAUUCCUGGUGUAGCGGUGGAAUGCGCAGAUAUCAGGAGGAACACCGAUGGCGAAGCAGGUCUCUGGGCUGUAACUGACGCUGAGAAGCGAAAGCAUGGGGAGCGAACAGGAUUAGAUACCCUUGUAGUCCAAGGGCGAAUUCCACAGUGGAUAUCAAGCUUAUCGAUACCGUCGACCUCGAGGGGGGGCCCGGUACCCAGCUUUUGUUCCCUUUAUAAGGGUUUA
rnacentral:rRNA from 1 species